GACGAACGCUGGCGGCGUGCUUAACACAUGCAAGUCGAACGGAAAGGCCCUGCUUUUGUGGGGUGCUCGAGUGGCGAACGGGUGAGUAACACGUGAGUAACCUGCCCUUGACUUUGGGAUAACUUCAGGAAACUGGGGCUAAUACCGGAUAGGAUCUCCUGCUGCAUGGUGGGGGUUGGAAAGUUUCGGCGGUUGGGGAUGGACUCGCGGCUUAUCAGCUUGUUGGUGGGGUAGUGGCUUACCAAGGCUUUGACGGGUAGCCGGCCUGAGAGGGUGACCGGCCACAUUGGGACUGUGAUACGGACCAGACUCCUACGGGAGGCAGCAGUGGGGAAUAUUGCACAAUGGGCGGAAGCCUGAUGCAGCAACGCCGCGUGCGGGAUGACGGCCUUCGGGUUGUAAACCGCUUUCGCCUGUGACGAAGCGUGAGUGACGGUAAUGGAUAAAGAAGCACCGGCUAACUACGUG
rnacentral:rRNA from 1 species